rnacentral:rRNA from 1 species
CAGCAGCCGCGGUAAUACGUAGGUCCCGAGCGUUGUCCGGAUUUAUUGGGCGUAAAGCGAGCGCAGGCGGUUUGAUAAGUCUGAAGUUAAAGGCUGUGGCUCAACCAUAGUUCGCUUUGGAAACUGUCAAACUUGAGUGCAGAAGGGGAGAGUGGAAUUCCAUGUGUAGCGGUGAAAUGCGUAGAUAUAUGGAGGAACACCGGUGGCGAAAGCGGCUCUCUGGUCUGUAACUGACGCUGAGGCUCGAAAGCGUGGGGAGCGAACAGGAUUAGAUACCCGUGUAGUCCCUGUCUCUUAUACA